rnacentral:lncRNA from 1 species
GAGCCCUUGCCUCUCUAACAUACUCCAGCUCAACAUUUCAAAAAUCCACAAAACUCUAUUCCAUUGCUGGCAGACAAACCCGGCUCUUCUCAACAUGUGGAAUAGUAUCUCUGCCCACUCAUAUCUAGUUCUCCAAAUUUUAAGAGAAAUUCGUCCAUGGCUGCUCUUGCUACUUCUUCUAAGUUUUAAGAAAAAUGUAGAAAGCAAACUAAUCUUCGGUAUUGAUGGCUAGGCCAUUACAAUAUCCAACUUUUGGAGCAGUUAAUUCAAAGUCAAGUUGUAAUUAUACUUUCAUUCAAACAUAUUCCCUCUAAUGUUUACUUCAAUUGUCAUGGCAAGCAAACUACUACAAACUUGUCCAAAGUAGCCAC